rnacentral:rRNA from 1 species
UACGUAGGUGGCGAGCGUUACCCGGAAUCACUGGGUGUAAAACGUGGGUAGGUGGCAUAGAAAGUACAGUGUGAAAUCCUGCGGCUCAACCGCAGGGCUGCACUGUAAACUGCUAUGCUAGAGUAGGGCAGAGGUGAGCGGAAUUCCCGGUGUACCGGUAAAAUGGGUAGAUAUCGGGAGGAACACCAUUGGCGAAAGCGGCUCACCAGGCCCUUACUUACGCUGAGCCACGAAAGCGUGGGGAGCAAACAGG